rnacentral:rRNA from 1 species
UACAGAGGUCCCAAGCGUUGUUCGGAUUCAUUGGGCGUAAAGGGUGCGUAGGUGGCGCCGUAAGUCAGGUGUGAAAUCUCGGAGCUCAACUCCGAAACUGCACUUGAUACUGCGGUGCUCGAGUACUGGAGAGGAGAUUGGAAUUUACGGUGUAGCAGUGAAAUGCGUAGAUAUCGUAAGGAAGACCAGUGGCGAAGGCGAAUCUCUGGACAGUUACUGACACUGAGGCACGAAGGCCAGGGGAGCAAACGGG